GACGAACCGUGCGAACGUUAUUCGGAAUCACUGGGCUUAAAGCGCGUGUAGGCGGGACGGCACGUCGGUCGCUGAAAUCCCCCGGCUCAACCGGGGAAGUGGCGCCGAUACGACCGCCCUGGAGGGACGUAGGGGGGGCUGGAACUUCCGGUGGAGCGGUGAAAUGCGUUGAGAUCGGAAGGAACGCCCGUGGCGAAGGCGAGCCCCUGGACGUCUACUGACGCUGAGACGCGAAAGCCAGGGGAGCGAACGGG
rnacentral:rRNA from 1 species